AAGAAGUGCUUCUGCCGUGAGUGAGACACAUAGGGAAGCUCACUUGCUCUAUGUGCAGAAUCGACAUCAAGAGAUUUCAGAAGCAUAAUUUUUUGGCAGGAGGACAGCUGGUGAUCUUGGUCCUCAUGCAUCCCC